GAAGAGUAUUUUCUCAUUUUGUCAAAAGGGCUAAAGGUACACCACACCCUUAAACUUAAAAAAGACUGAGAUUUAAACAUGUAGCACCUAAUUAAGUUUAAUAUCCAAAUAGAAAGUAAAAUAUAGGUUCGGUUUAACUAUGAAAUGACGACUCUAAAAGACAAGCCGAUGACUUAAAAACACCACGAUGCUAUUGCACGUUGACACCGUUACCAUCUUGCAGUCUAGAGAUAAGUGGGUCCUUCAGAUCAAACAAAUAAGUGAGUCUUUUGAGAAUCAAAUAAAUGUUUUGAGAAUAAUUAAUGUUGGUUGGUAUAGGUUAAGUUAAUAGCUCAUCUUCCAUAUUUUUAUUUAUGAAGAGGGGGACAAAGCCCCAAAAACAUAACUAAGAAACAACAUCACAUUUUGAACCAAAAAAAAAAAAAAAAAACGACGACAACAAAUUAAUCUACAGUAAAAACUCACCAAAUGACUCAUCCCACCAAAACUCAAACAGCUUGAAUGUAUUUGACAUCUUAUCGUUUCUGUUUUUGAAUAGCUUAUACCCCAAAAGUAUUGGAUGCAGGUGGGGGUGCCUCUGAAUGCUGGGAACGUACUGGGAGCGAAGGAUAACAAACCAAUACCAAAAUCGGAGACAAUCAUUAGAAAAGCUAUGAACAAAUCCUUGGAACCCGAAAGCAAACACAUGCUACAAAGGACUUCUUCGAUUGCUGACUUGGAACAUGGUCAAUUGACUAAUUAUUAUUGAAUAGCUUGAAUUUAUAUUUUUUAAUUACUUUAAUUAGUUGUUAUGUCUUAAUUAUUAUUUACUUAAUGAAUAAUUUGUAUUUAAAUAUUUUAUUAUUUUUAUUUUUAUUCAAUAAUAUGUGAGUAUUUUGUGAAUAAUAUGUGAAUUUUGUGUGUAUUAUUGAAAUUUUUAUUAAAAAAAUAAGUGUAUUAAAUAUGAAAAGUACUUACGUACGUGUACAAUAUGAGUAUUAAACGUAAAAAUGCUAAAUUCUUUAUACAUGUAAUAACUCUAGAAAAGUAAAAACAAGGGGACAAUAUAGACUCAGGUAAUGGCCUAAUAGUAAUAAAUAAUACUCUAAACUACUCUUAUAGAUAAACAAAAAUCGGGGAAAAACAAUUAUAAAAAAAAAAUUGCAGUGUCUAUGUAAAGAGUAUAACCGCGCCUCUAUACUAUUUACGAAAAAGAAUUUAAAAAAAUACCCCAGUAAAGCAGUGCAACUAUACACUUGUUUUAUUAAAAAAAAAAUUCGGUAGUAUAGCCGCGCGGCUAUACUAUUUAUAAAAAUAAAAAAAAGAAAGGACCCGCUACUCGCUUAACGCUUGUUUUUUUAGGAAAUCACUUUCACUUUGUCCCACAUUGAGAGAGAGUAGCUCACUUGAAACACUAAAUAGGAAGUCUUUUAAUUAUUCAUUUAGUUUUAUUUUAUUUUAAAGUCUAUGAGGGUUUUAAUAUUGCUAAAAUGGCACGCUUGCAACUCACGCGUUCUCAAGCCUAUUCUAGGGUUUGACAUUUUCAGGCUGUUCGCGUUAAAACUAAACAUAAAUAAAGCUAACUUACAGGUGAUGUGGAUGGUUUGGACUCGAGGAGCCUUCGGACCAUGGCGUCCUUCCUCGAUACGUGAUGCUGGAUUCGGCCUGGAGAGAGAAACGGCAGGUGAGGUCUAAGACACCGGUGUGGCGCCGGCUGAAGACCCUCUGAUGCCAAAGUUAGUGACUAAGAGCAAUUCUAUUGACAAUGAAAGCACAAGUUAAGUAAACAGUCUUACCUCUUGGCUGGGCCAAGGGGUUCUAUUUAUAAAAAGCAUUUGUGAUGCUCUUAGUACUUAGUUUCGAUGUGUUUCGACGGUCGACGUGUGCCCUGACAGGUUCUGGCGGGAGUUCAGAGGUUAUCUGUUAGAAUCGGCAGGAUGUGCUGACUGGUCACUCGACAUAGUGUGCCGAACGUUGGUGUGGGUGAAUCGGCCGUUAGCAUUUACCAACUUGACGACCUCGUAUGAAUCGGUGGAGAAUGUCGAUUGACCUUUCGGCAUGGCUCACUGAGCUGGUCUUAGACUUGUUUACCUUCCACGUGCUAUGAUGUGAGUGGGGGGUCAGAUAUGGUACAAACACAGGCUAAACAAAUUCUCUAUAGUUAAUGACUAAAUAAUAAAACACUAAAGAAUAAUGAAACAUGUGAUCAAAUUCAUAAAUAAAUUAAAAGUAAUGUUUAUCUUGAGAGAAAAUAUAGUGAUGAUUUUGAGAAAAAAGAAUAGUGUUGGAGAUUUCUAGAAAUUGCAGGAUUGAAAUAGCUCAGCAAUCCCCAAAUUCCAAAAUUGUAACUUAACAUGUAUGAGACAUUUGAUCUGAAAGGUAAGACAUGUCAUUUUUCAUGCACUCAUAAUGGGAACGUUUUUUGGAAUCUAAUAUGAUUUUAUUUCCUUGAUCUUCCUUGAUAAUCAAUUAGAAUCCCUUUAGGAGUGCAUCUCAUUUAGGCAUAUUUUUCAAUAUCUUUUGUUCAUUCCUUCUUUCCUUGUAUUAUUAAAUUCCUACUUGUCUUUCAAGUAUUUUGAUUGAAGAUCACGUUGGUAUUUCCUUGGGCCUCAAGGGUAAUCUUGCUUUGUAUUGGAAAGUAUCUUUGAUUGGCAAUCACUUGUUUAAUUAGAUCAAUGUUUCUAAAGGGUUGGGAUAUUCUUGGAAUUAAUUCAAGAAUAUUAGGAAUCUUGAUAAGGUGAUUGUGAAUAUCCUUUUUGGAGUACAUGUGAGUUUUAUACAUACUAUGAAACAUAUCUUUGGUUAUUUGGUUAGCCUUCAAUGAAUUUGAUUUUGUGUUGGACGUGGGCUUUUCUUCCUAGAGAAGAAAAGGUUCCAUAAAAUAAGAACUUUGUCUUCUUUGUUUUUAGGAGAUUUCACGAUCAUGUUUUCAGUGCAUAAACUUUGGAAAGCUGAGUUUGUAUUUGAGAUAAAUUAUCAAGUGUUCCAUGUUUACUUGGUGAUUUAUCAAACACUUUUGUCAUUCAUAUUUCAUUCAUUUGCAUGUUCGAUGACUCAUACGGUUGAGGGCACCAAAACCGUGUUGGCGUUUUUUCUCCAGUGAGUUUGAAUCGAUCGUGACCAGUAUUGGAUUCAACACAAGGAGAGUUGGAAGAACUUCGACGAGCUUAAAGCAAUUGUGACCAGUAUUGCGUUCAACAUAAGGAGUGUUAAAGAUCAUCCCGUGACAGAAGUUGAGUUACGAAGAAGUAGGUAAACAUUAUCUAGAACGUGUCUAGGAUAAGUGUGUGAGUAAUUAUUGUAAUCAUUGUUCUAUAGUGGAUUUGUGUUGGACUGAGGAAUCCUAUGGAUUUUCCCCAUAAGUGCGAUUUUACCACUUAAAAUAAGUCUAUGCGUGUUCCUUUAUUUUACGUUCAGCACGUUUUAGGAUUGAUAAGCCAUAUCAAUCCUUAUACCAAAGUUUAUUUUUUGUUUAUUGAUUAUAAUUUUAAAUUGUCCUAUUCACCCACUCUAGGCAUUUUUAGUCAUCCUACAAGUAAUUUCAACAUUUUAACCCAAGGUUACAUAAAUCCAUGGGUUAUGGUGUGACAACAUGCACUGGCAGUGGAAGAAUUGUCUAACUGUUUAGCAAUGAGAUUAUUGGAAUAGGAAGGGCAAAAAAAGUAUCAUUCUGGAGGUCGUUGCAUCAUUCGAUACCCAGGUUUGGCAUGCCUUUUUCGAAAUUGAGGGAUCUCAAAACGACCUCAACAUGCUUGGUCAAUCCUUGGUAUUCAACUAUGUGUUGAGAGGUCAUUCCCCCUAGAUCACGUAUCAAAUCAACAAUACCGUAUACUCGAGUAGGUACUACCUAGCUGACGAAAUUUAUCCAAAGUGGAUGGCAUUCGUCAAAACAAUUCCAAAUCCCCAAUUGGAGAAGGAAAAAAGCCUUGUUGUGUUUUGGUAUCCUGUAAGCUCGUUGGGCAAUUAUUAGGUGUAUUGCUCAUAUGUUUGAUGAAGAGAUGCUCCGGAGCAUUAUGAUGACUUGCAUCAUCCUCCAUAACAUGAUUGUGGAGGAUGAGUAUGAUUAUGAUGCCCCUGAGAUGUUCGAACCCGAUCCCAUUAAUAUGGCAUUGACAAGAAUUUAUGAACGACCCGUGGGAGCAAAUGGAUAAUCACUGGAGCACGAACCGUUGAUUAGAGACAGUCGGUACAACAAUCAUAUGAUUGACCAUUAUAUGAAAAUGCAAUCUUCUUAUGUUCAAGAGAGACAUCAAGUUGACUUGAUCGAGCACUUAUGGGCGAUGAAGGGCAAUCAAGGUGGAUGAAGUCAAGUUUAAUGCUUUGUUUGGAAUUAUGCUUUGUUUUUAACAAUGGUUUGUUUUAAAUUAUGCUUUGUUUUGUGUGUGGUUUGUAAUGAAUUAAGGUUUGUUUUGAUGUAUGAAAUGUUUUUAAUGAAUAGCUAUAUUAUUUAAUACUUUCUUUAUUUAAUAAAAAAGAAACAAUACAACAAAUUAAUAUAUGGCAACUCUUUCAAUACAACCUAAUGGUUUUGAUCAUUUAACCAAUCUGUGUUGCUAGGUCCACCGUUAUGGAAAAGCUUUCUUCUCAUAACAUCUCUUUGUUUUAGCUUCCAAUAGGACUUUGUUUCAGGAGACAUAUGGCUCAUAUCAAUGGCCAUGAUUUUCAUCUCUUUGUCCUCUACGUCUUGUCACUGUGCCUGCUGCCUUUCUAUUGCAUAUGCUUCAUAUCAUGUCUUGUCAGCUUCAUCUCUUUUCAAGUCUCUUUAAAUUCUAAGUGAGCCGUUUAUAGCAAUUUGGUCAAAAAAAUUUGCACAUUCAGUGUUCGAAGUGCUCCCUCUCUUGGCCUUUGCCGCUUUUCACCCAAUAGGCAUCGGCUCACGUUGGAUUGGUGAGACUUGAUCCAUUGGGGGGAGUCCAAUGGAGAAUCCUUUGCCAGUGAAUUGUGAAGUGGCGUCUCAUUCAACACAACCGUCGGAUGUGUGGAAAUAAUUUUGAAUAUUGAAAAAUUCUUCACAACUUCCCAACAUUGGUGAUUGAUGAAACUUUUUUUGCCUUGACCAAUGGCACCGAACCACAUUUGCGCUUGAAUAAUCUAUUAAAAAAUAAAAUUGGAAAUGCAAGAAAUUUUUUUUUAAAAAGUGCCAUUAAAUUGAAUAAAACUGCAUUUAGAAAGCUUUUACCUCGUCACCAAGAUUUUUACCACUUCGAAGGUUCUUCCUCACUUUUGCCAACGCAUCUCUCCAACUCUUUAUUCAAAAUUUUCCACUUAUUAGCCAAGGCCAUUUCCGGACUAGCCGAACCCAAUCUUUCACAAAAUUCUCUAUUAAUUUUUCUCCACAUAUGAGAAGACUUCACGGGCAAUGACCAAAUUUGACCCAACACUCACACAACAAAAUAUCUUCCACGGUUGUCCACGAGCCUUCGGCUUCUCUUGAAGAGGCCAUCUUUAUUUUUACACAAAUGGAUUUAGUAGUAUAAAAUUUGGGGUGAAAAGUGAAAAAUAUUGGAAGGAGAAGAAUUUGUAUGAAGAUUUUGUGUGGAAAGUGAAUAAUAUUGGUAGGUAUUUAUAAAAAUAAAAAUAAAAAAAUCCUUUAUUUUUUGAUAUUUUUUUACAAAGUUUUUUGAUUUUUUUAGCCAGAAAAUGGGCAGCCAUUGGAUUGGAAGAGAUUUUCGGAUCAGAGCCUCUAGGAGAAGCCACUGGAUUGGAAGAGAUUUUCGGAUCAGAGCCUCUAGGAGAAGCCACGUGGCUUGUAGUCGUUGGUUUCUUGCAGCAUUGAUGCUAGCAUUGCGUCAGCUGCUCGAAGGUAAGAGGACAUGUCAGAUCUCCCCGUGGGCUUGUCCGGGCUCGUGGGUCCCAAGCCUUGCCCAGGCUGGGUCUUCCAUGCUAGAGCUACCUGGGCUAACCCCUUGCAGUGGAAGUGCUCUUAGAAGAACCUUCGACAAAAUUGUCUAGUCCCUAAAACAUUGGACAAUAGGAGGUUACCAAGACAAAAUUGUCUAGUCCCUAAAACAUUGGACAAACCAAUCAAGUUACUGUCCGACAAUGACAUGAAAUAAACUCUUUAAGUUACUCACUGAGAGUGACAUUAAACAACUCUUGGAUUAAUGACAACUGUACUGAAACGGUAUGUCCAAUUUUGAAGGAUUUGGACCAUUUUAACAUUUUUUUUUUCUUGUGUGAAUGACUUUUUUAUCAUGCACGCGUCCAAGGAACCCUCUAGAACAAGGACCACAAUUACCCUCUAGGGCUCAGCACCAAAAUAACAAACCCCUUCGUCCACAUAUAUUUACAGACCCACCUCUGCAUCUGACACUGUUUGAGGCUUUUCCCAUUCCCCCUUCCCCCAUCGAUUCACAAACACAAUAGAAGCGAAGUCUGUUCUGUUUAGAGAGAAGGAGAGCAAUGGCAGAGCAUUUGGCUUCCAUAUUUGGGACAGAGAAGGACAGGGUGAACUGCCCUUUCUACUUUAAGAUAGGGGCGUGCAGGCAUGGAGAUCGCUGCUCCAGACUCCAUACCAAGCCCAGCGUCAGCCCAACCCUCUUGCUCUCCAACAUGUACCAGAGGCCCGAUAUGAUCACUCCCGGCGUCGACGCUCAGGGCCAGCCCAUCGACCCCCGCCAGAUCCAAAGACACUUUGAGGUCUGCUUGCCCUUCUUCAUAUUCAAAAUUGAAAACCCAUUUGACAUUUUUGCUUUUAUUUGAUGUUUGUUUUUUGUUAUAGAGGAAAGUAACCCAUGAUUUAACAAAAACCCAUUUGCAUUUUGCGCUGUUUUUGUUCGGAAUGUUGUGUUUUGGAUUUGUUGUGUGCUAUUUCUAUGAAUUAGAGGUUUUUAUUAUGUGUAUUGGACUCUCUCCGACUUUCCCUGUGUGAAAUUCAGAAUUAAUGGGUUUAAAAAGUACAUCUUUCAAAUAUUGAUGCAUGAAAAGUUUUAUUUUUUAAUUUAAAGAAGAAGAUUUGAUCUUUUGCCAGUGGUUGUAAUGGGGAAUAGAGAAGAAUAAAAGGAAGAUGUAAGUAAAAUCAAACUCGAGUAUAAGGUCUUCAAAUAUAAAUACAGAGCAGUGGGAUGCAAAAUAAACUUUUGUUUAUUUAUUAUAUGAUCUUUUUUCCAUCUUGAAACCUAAAUGCUUUAUGUUGCAUCUGUGAAAUAGUUGAAAACCUUAGUGUCUCUGCAAUCCUUCUCUGUUCUGUAUAUGUGUAUAAAUGUAAGUACAUACGCUUGCAUAUUUCCUACAAUUAAAUUGUUUACGUUUUGGAAAUUGCAGGAAUUUUAUGAGGAUCUGUUUCAAGAGCUGAGUAAGUACGGUGAUAUCGAAAGUCUGAAUGUCUGUGACAACCUAGCCGACCACAUGGUAGGUUUUAUUCGACAGAAAGUUAAGCUCUUUCUCUGCUUUCCUCUUUUCUCAUCAUAAAAAUUAUUGAUAUUACUGCAAAACUUAUCCAUUUGGUCAGGUGGGCAAUGUGUACGUUCAGUUUAGGGAGGAGGAACAUGCUUCAAAUGCACUUCAGAACCUAAGUGGAAGAUUUUAUGCUGGUUAGUUUCUACGCCGUAUCUUUGAACUUCAGAAUUUGAUGUCUAAGUGUCUGCUAGUUAUGGUUUAUAUUGCUUUUUAGGCCUACAAUAUGUAAUAUGUUGAACUUAUAUCUCUUGGUAAAUAACUUGCAGGUCGUCCUAUCAUUGUUGACUUUUCUCCAGUGACGGACUUCCGUGAAGCCACCUGCAGGCAGUAUGAGGAGAAUACAUGCAACCGUGGUGGAUACUGCAAUUUUAUGCACUUGAAAAGGAUCAGCAGGUAUGCUUUGCUUGAAAAAAAAUUCUUUUGCAGAACGCACUGAUGCAUUAAUUUAACUCACUCUUGGUUACAAUGUCAGGGAAUUGAGGCAUGAGUUAUUUGGGAGCUAUCGGAGAAGGCAUAGCCACAGUCGAAGCAGGAGUCGAAGCCCUUACAGGCAUCGUAGCUAUGAAGAGCGCUCUCAUGGGAGCCGUGGUCAUAGCAGAAGGUAUGAUGAUGAGGAUCGCUAUCCUGAAAGCUGGAGCCGAAGGAACAAGACUGUUAGCCCUGGUGGAAGGAGAGGACGCAGUAGAAGCAGAAGCCCUGAUGGAAGGAGACGGCGCAGUAGAAGCAGAAGCCCUGGAAGGAGAAGAAACCAUAGUCCAGUUAGAGAAGGCAGUGAGGAGAGACGGGCCAAGAUUGAGCAGUGGAACAGGGAAAGAGAACAAAAUGAAAAUUCUAGCAAUUAUGAGCAUCAGCAGCAAUAGCAACCUGCGGAGAAAGGAGGGUAUGAAUACUGAUAUUCGAAAGCUUUUAUGUGGUUUCCACCCACCCACCAGACCACACCCUCNNNNNNNNNNNNNNNNNNNNNNNNNNNNNNNNNNNNNNNNNNNNNNNNNNNNNNNNNNNNNNNNNNNNNNNNNNNNNNNNNNNNNNNNNNNNNNNNNNNNUACCACACACACACACAAUAUUAUACGUGCUCAACUCGCGAAAGAAAUUUAUAUUUCAACAAAAACAUUUUUUCAAUAAAUAUAGCUUACAGCACAUUUUCCACUGUGCAGGUGGUGUGCAGGUUCACACUUCUGUGAUAUGCAAUUGAAAUGACUUUACAAUUUUUAAUCUCAUACAUAUUGUGUGACUGUGUGCUUUCUGUAUGAUUAUGUCUCUGUAAACCUUUCCCCUGCUGCCCUAGUUCUGUACUCUUUGCUUCAACCAGUCUCUUCAAACAACUCCCUUCAUCAUUUUGGACUUCGUCCUUCAUAGAAAGCUAUUGAUAUUGCAACUUAGAUAAGCAAUGACAAAGUGAGGCAAAGGAAAGAAAUAUUGAGGAUAGGGAGAGAGGCUUGAAUAAUUAGACCCCAAAUUGUUAAAACUUAAACUGAUUAAAUACUUAGCUUCCAAAAAUUCCGGAACUAAAUAAAAUAGCUUCUCGUUAAUUACUUAUCUUGUGCUUGUGUCUAAAAUAAGCACAAAUGUUCUCACAUCUAACCGUCAUCACAAAGCCAGCUCCUCUAUAAGAAUUUUUGUUUGGGGCCGUAGGGGAUGAUUUCAGCUGACUAUAACAUCUCUCUUUCUAUCUUGUUCAAUCAAUUUUGUUCUUAUUUUGUUUCAUGGAAGCCAAUCCCCAGUUGAUACUUUGCAUCUGUGUGAAAUUUGUUUGCUUGUUUUGCAUGCAUUCAUGUUUUACAGUCAGAAGUUCUGUGACCACCACGAAUCAAGAGUAGUGAACGAUCGAAUAUCAUGGUUCUGUCUUGGGUUUUGAUUUCUUCUCCCCUUUUAGCUUUAUUUUUUUGUUUCAAUUAGUAAAAGUCAUGAUCUUACAUUCUUUACAAGUUUUGCAGGUUCAGGUAUCCCUGCUUCUAAGGUCCGAUCCUAUUUAUUUUCAUUGCAGCUUACAAUGGAAUUUGUGUACAGGUUGCUGGUGCAGUGUAUCAGGAUUCAGGAGAAUGGGGUUAUACGAUAUUUCAGGUUUCAAUUCAGAAGUGUGAAAGUAUAUUCCUAUUCCAUCACUCGAACGACUGAUGUAGGUUAUUACUGUUGGUAGGUCAUUGCUGUUGGUCAAUUGUAGUAGUCAUCAUGAUGCAGGUUUAGUGUGGCAUCCAAAAUAUUAUUAGUUGUUGGACCAGUUGUAUUGUCAUAUUUGGAGUUGUACAAGCAUUAAAAUCUUGACUGGCUAUGAUGUUAUUCCUUCUGUUUAAGUUAUUGACAAUGCUUAAAAUCAUCUGUGAACUUGAUGUCAAGAGCCAUUUGUUACUGCUGGUUUAUCAAUCCUGGGCAUGAAAGAGGAAUGUGUUAAAUGUUAUAUUAGGGUGGGUUGUUUUUAAGAACCUUAUAAAUGGUAUAAAUGAACUUCUUACAUUUGGAUUAUCGGGUUUUGCCACUGUUAUGGAAAUAUCUGUACGCAUAAAUCUUGAAACUUGAAUUUCUAUGCAGCGACGGGUUUCUUGUUUUGGGGAGACAGCAUAGACCUUUAGGACUCUCGACUUUAUUUUCCUUUUCUUCACAAGUCAACAUAGAAUCCAUCCCAAGUUUUGCAAUGAGAAGCAACUUUUCUGCAAUUUAAUCUUAUGGCUAAUGUUGUGUAUGGAUUUUGAGUGUAGCAGGUUUUGUAAAAUUUGUAGUUCCAAAUUCCAGAUUUUCAUGAUUCUGUUUGUAAAUUUAAAGCUGCAUUUACACCCGCAAAACCAACGUUCCACCCCCAAAAAAGAUUUCACAAACACCCACAACACGUAGAAAUCAAAGCUCAAAGCGUGGGUAUGAAACUGGAAAUGAACGACCAAGAAAUUUCCUAAUUUUCUAGCCUACUUUGGACCUGGUUUUGAGCCAUUAAAUUAAAUCUUACCUAUACUUGUUUCAGAGUAACCUUGUGCCAAUGUCUCUCAUGCACCACUUGCUUCUUAAAACACCAGGCCCAUAACCCGCGACUGAGUGAGGUUCGCUUCAUUCCUUUUAAUACAAGCCAUAUUGGAAGAGAGGGGAAACAAAUAUAAAAAUGUUCUUAACCCCUUGUGAUACAAAACCCGCAUCAUUUUUUUUUAACUUUGUUUCCGAAGCACUUUAAAAAAAGCAAUGAAUAUGAUACUCGACUUUCUUAUUCAGUAUUAUUUUUUUGACGAGAAGAGAUUGGAAGAGACCGAAACUCGUGCCUCUGUUAUAGCUCUCAAACUAUUCAGAGAAUAGUGUGCACAUUGAACCUGGGCUGCAAGUUGGAUGUGAAGCAAAUUGCUUUACAAGCUCCAAAUGCACAAUACGAUCCCGAAAUCCGAAAUCAACGGUUCAGAGCUUUACAUCUGGCAAGAUGCAACAUCUGAAGUGCAAACUGAAUUUGCAGCCAGGAAAUUUGGACAACUCAUCCAACGGAAUCUAGGGUCUAGAGAAGUUAAAGUUCAGGGUUUCCCAUCAGCCUUGAAAUCUUGCCUACUCCCCAGCCACCCACGGAAACUUCGCUAAAUACGAGCCUGAAAUUUUUCCAGGGAUUGGAUCAAGAGGUGGCAGCCCAAACUUUUUGCUAAAAAUUCAGGCCCUUUUUAGCAGUAACUCAAGCACCCAGCAUAAACGCCUUGACAUUUUUCUGCCAAAAGCUCUAUUAACAGUACUUUUUAUUAACCCUCGGUCCCAUUAACGCUGAAGAAUCAAUAGCUAUUGCAAUAGGACAUAAUCACAGUUCUAUAAACCUGGAAAAUCGAUCCAAUUUCUAUAUAGGACAAUCGAAAGGUCAAAGAGCACUCUCUCCUUUUGUAAGAGGGGCUAAAAGUAGAGCACUUAAAUUUAAAAAAGGCUAAGAGAUUAAAACAUAACGCACCUAAUUAAGUUGAAUAAGCAAUAUCCAAAUAGAAAAGUAAAAUAUAGGUUCAGUUAACUGUGAAAUAACAACUCUAAAAGACAAGCCGAUAACUCAAAACCCGAGGACAACCGUUGCUACCGCCAUAACCUUAACAUAUCACCCUCUGUACUCUCA
rnacentral:lncRNA from 1 species